CCAGCGCAGGUCCGUCUGCGCAUGCGCAGGAGACCCAAGCGGCGCGGCGCGUAUAGGUAGCUUCGCUUCCGCGGCGGCCACCUGGGCCUGGUUGCGCCUGCGCGCUGAGCAAUUACAGAAUAUCUGCUCUGUUUAAGAACUUGGAAAAUGAAGACACGAGUGAAACAGUCCCAGCCCUUAAAGAACUCUGAAGUUAUUGAGAAAGACAGAGGGGCAGUAAACAACUCUCCUACAAGAGAAGAGCUGCCUUUCAAGGCAUUGCUUAAACAUAACUGAAGAAAUGAUGAACAAUACUAGAAAAGCUUUUGUGGUCGAGGUAGCAUUUGAGCUAAGCUUUGAAAAUGAAGAUUUCCACAAGCAAAGAAGCACAUCAAUCACUAAUAACUACUCUGAAAGACCUCUUCCUCCUUGCUUCUAAGCUGAGUUUCUUGCCUGAAUAUGCUUUCUUAGUUAAAGGUAUCUUUCUCUCCCUGCUCACCAGGGGAGACAUCAAAGGUAGGUAGUUUGAAGAUAUUAUAUAUUCCUCCUUCCAUUUCUUAUAUUAUGAACUUAUCAAACUACAAUGCUCCAUAUAUUCUAUUUGUUUUCCGUUUUAUUGUUGUUUUGUGGUCUGUUGGUUUCUGGCAAAAAAAAAAUUAAAAGAUAAGUUUUAAUAUACUUAUCUCUGAGAAGUACUGAGAAUGUUUAGUAGAUGAUGAUGAAUUAAAUGAUGACAAGAAUUGGAGAUCAAAUAAAAAUGCCUUGCUCACUAUCCAGUAUAUAUAGCAAGUACACAUAAAUGUGUUUGGCAUGCAUAUGAUGUUUAUGCCCAACUGUGCUCUUUGCUGUCACAUAAAUUUCAAUGUUCUUAAAUUCUCAAUGUUCUUAAGUUUUCUCAGCAGUAAAUUGAUACAUUAAAAUAACAUUUGUACCAAUAUUGGGGAAGAAUAACAAAGCUAAAUUGAGGUUUCAAAUGUCAAAGCAUCUAGCCUGGCACGGUGGCUCACGCCUGUAAUCCCAGCACUUUGGGAGGCCGAGGCAGGCGGAUCACCUGAGGUCAGGAGUUCAAGACCAGCCUGCUCAACAUAGUGAAACAUUGUUUCUACUAAAAACACAAAAAUUAGCUGGGCAUUGUGGCACGCACCUGUGAUUCCAACUACUCAGGAGGCUGAGGCAGAAGAAUCGCUUGAACCCAGGAGGAGGAGGUUGUAGUGAGCCAAGAUCACGUCACUGCACUCCAGCCUGGGCGACAGAGCAAGACUCCGUCUCAAAAAAAAAAAAAAAAAAAAAAAGUCAAAGCAUUUGACAAGUUAUUGACAAGCAGGUAACGUGUUGUUUAGGCCUUUUCUUCUUUGAACAAGCAAAGUAAUUGUACGUGUGUAGAGCUUUCCUUCCUCUUUAUGUACUUCCAUGAUAAAUUAAACCCCAAUUAGCCAUCUUCCUCUACAUCCUGACAUCUUUUAACAAUAAACUUUACCUAGUCC